rnacentral:rRNA from 1 species
GAUGAACGCUGGCGGCGUGCCUAAUACAUGCAAGUCGAGCGAACGGACGAGAAGCUUGCUUCUCUGAUGUUAGCGGCGGACGGGUGAGUAACACGUGGAUAACCUACCUAUAAGACUGGGAUAACUUCGGGAAACCGGAGCUAAUACCGGAUGAUAUUUUGAACCGCAUGGUUCAAAAGUGAAAGACGGUCUUGCUGUCACUUAUAGAUGGAUCCGCGCUGCAUUAGCUAGUUGGUAAGGUAACGGCUUACCAAGGCAACGAUGCAUAGCCGACGUGAGAGGGUGAUCGGCCACACUGGAACUGAGACACAGUCCAGGCUCCUGAGAGAGGCAGCAGUAGGGAAUCUUCCGCAAUGGGCGAAAGCCUGGCGGAGCAACGCCACGUGAGUGAUGAAGGUCUUCGGAUCGUAAAGCUCUGUUAUUAGGGAAGAACAUAUGUGUAAGUAACUGUGCACAUCUUGACGGUACCUAAUCAGAAAGCCACGGCUAACUACGUG